rnacentral:rRNA from 1 species
UACGUAGGGGGCAAGCGUUGUUCGGAAUUACUGGGCGUAAAGGGCUCGUAGGCGGCCAACUAAGUCGGAUGUGAAAUCCCCAAGCUUAACUUGGGAACUGCAUCCGAUACUGGAUGGCUUGAAUCCGGGAGAGGGAUGCAGAAUUCCAGGUGUAGCGGUGAAAUGCGUAGAUAUCUGGAGGAAUACCGGUGGCGAAGGCGGCAUCCUGGACCGGCAUUGACGCUGAGGAGCGAAAGCUAGGGGAGCAAACGGGG